GGCUUCGUGGCCCAAUGGCAAGGCGUCUGACUACGAUUCACCACUGAUAAUCAGGAGAUUCUGGGUUCGACCCCCAGCGAGGUCA